rnacentral:rRNA from 1 species
GGGAGGAAUAUUGGUCAAUGGGCGAGAGCCUGAACCAGCCAAGUCGCGUGAAGGAUGAAGGUUUUAUGAAUUGUAAACUUCUUUUGCAGGGGAAUAAAGUACGGUACGUGUACCGUUUUGUAUGUACUCUGCGAAUAAGGAUCGGCUAACUCCGUGCCAGCAGCCGCGGUAAUACGGAGGAUCCAAGCGUUAUCCGGAUUUAUUGGGUUUAAAGGGUGCGCAGUCGGGUUGAUAAGUCAGCGGUGAAAGUUUGCAGCUUAACUGUAAAAUUGCCGUUGAAACUGUCGAUCUAGAGUGCAAAUGAGAAAAGAGGAAUGUGUUGUGUAGCGGUGAAAUGCUUAGAUAUAACACAGAACACCGAUUGCGAAGGCAGCUUACUGGUCCAUUAUUGACGCUGAGACACGAAAGCGUGGGGAUCGAACAGGAUUAGAAACCCCAGUAGUCC